rnacentral:rRNA from 1 species
AGAAUUAACGCUGGCAGAGUGCAUAACACAUGCAAGUCGAGCGAGACUACGGGGCAACUCGUAGUUUAGCGGCAGACGAGUGAGUAACACGUAAACAACCUACCCUUGAAUGGCGAACAACCAGUCGAAAGAUUGGCUAAUACGCCGUAUAAUCGCGGAAAGGCAUCUUUUUGCGAUGAUAGGCCAGCAAUGGUCGUUCAUGGAGGGUUUGCGGCCAUCAGCUAGUUGGCGUGUAACGGACCACAAGGCUAUGACGGGUACCGCCUGGAAGGGCGGACGGGCACGAUGGCACUGAGACGACCGGGCCAGUACUCCGUACGGGAGGCAGCGAGGUGGGUAAUUUGGACAAGUGGGACGAAAGCCUAGACUCCAGACACUCUGCGGUGAGGGACGAAGUUCGUUCGGA